rnacentral:rRNA from 1 species
CAAUAGCGUAUAUUAAAGUUGUUGCAGUUAAAAAGCUCGUAGUUGGAUUUCUGGUUGGGGAGUCCGGUCCUGGCCGCAAGGUCGGAGCACCAGUGUCGUCCCUGAUCAUCCUUAGGAGGAACGUGUCUGGCAUUAGUUUGUCGGGUUCGGGAUUCCUAUCGUUUACUGUGAAAAAAUUAGAGUGUUUAAAGCAGGCUUAUGCCGUGAAUACAUUAGCAUGGAAUAAUAAGAUAGGACUUUGGUACUAUUUUGUUGGUUUGCAUACCAAGGUAAUGAUUAAUAGGGAUAGUUGGGGGUAUUCAUAUUUAAUUGUCAGAGGUGAAAUUCUUGGAUUUAUGAAAGAUGAACUUAUGCGAAAGCAUUUACCAAAGAUGUUUUCAUUAA